AACGAACGCUGGCGGCAGGCCUAGCACAUGCAAGUCGAGCGCCCUUUCGGGGGAGCGGCGGACGGGUGAGUAACGCGUGGGAAUAUGCCCUUCUCUACGGAAUAGCCUCGGGAAACUGAGAGUAAUACCGUAUACGCCCUAUGGGGGAAAGAUUUAUCGGGGAAGGAUUAGCCCGCGUUGGAUUAGGUAGUUGGUGGGGUAAUGGCCUACCAAGCCGACGAUCCAUAGCUGGUUUGAGAGGAUGAUCAGCCACACUGGGACUGAGACACGGCCCAGACUCCUACGGGAGGCAGCAGUGGGGAAUCUUAGACAAUGGGGGCAACCCUGAUCGAGCCAUGCCGCGUGAGUGAUGAAGGCCUUAGGGUUGUAAAGCUCUUUCAGCUGGGAAGAUAAUGACGGUACCAGCAGAAGAAGCCCCGGCUAACUCCGUG
rnacentral:rRNA from 1 species